rnacentral:rRNA from 1 species
UACGGAGGGGGCUAGCGUUGUUCGGAAUUACUGGGCGUAAAGCGCGCGUAGGCGGAUCGGAAAGUUGGGGGUGAAAUCCCGGGGCUCAACCCUGGAAUGGCCUUCAAAACUCCCGGUCUUGAGGUCGAGAGAGGUGAGUGGAAUUCCGAGUGUAGAGGUGAAAUUCGUAGAUAUUCGGAGGAACACCAGUGGCGAAGGCGGCUCACUGGCUCGAUACUGACGCUGAGGUGCGAAAGCGUGGGGAGCAAACAGG